AGCAGCCGCGGUAAUUCCAGCUCCAAUAGCGUAUAUUAAAGUUGUUGCAGUUAAAAAGCUCGUAGUUGAAUUUCGGGAUUAAUUUACUGGUCGUGCUAUUGUACGUACUGGUUUUAUUGAUUCCUCCCUUCUGACGAACUAUGAUGUCAUUAAUUUGGUGUCAUAGGGAAUCAGGACUGUUACUUUGAAAAAAUUAGAGUGUUUAAAGCAGGCUCACGCUUGAAUACAUUAGCAUGGAAUAACGGAAUAGGACGUUUGAUUCUAUUUUGUUGGUUUCUAGGAUCGACGUAAUGAUUAAUAGGGAUAGUUGGGGGCAUUAGUAUUCAAUUGUCAGAGGUGAAAUUCUUGGAUUUAUUGAAGACUAACUACUGCGAAAGCAUUUGCCAAGGAUGUUUUCAUUAAUCAAGAACGAAAGUUAGGGGAUCGAAGACGAUCAGAUACCGUCGUAGUCUUAACCAUAAACUAUGCCGACUAGGGAUCGGAUGAUGUUAAUUUUUUAAUGACUCAUUCGGCGCCUUAC
rnacentral:sRNA from 1 species